rnacentral:rRNA from 1 species
GACGAACGCUGGCGGCGUGCUUAACACAUGCAAGUCGUACGGUAAGGCCCUUUCGGGGGUACACGAGUGGCGCACGGGUGAGUAACACGUGAGUAACCUGCCCACAACUUUGGGAUAACGCUAGGAAACUGGUGCUAAUACUGGAUAUGUGCUCCUGCUGCAUGGUGGGGGUUGGAAAGCUCCGGCGGUUGUGGAUGGACUCGCGGCCUAUCAGCUUGUUGGUGGGGUAGUGGCCUACCAAGGCGGCGACGGGUAGCCGGCCUGGGAGGGUGACCGGCCACAUUGGGACUGAGAUACGGCCCAGACUCCUACGGGAGGCAGCAGUGGGGAAUAUUGCACAAUGGGCGCAAGCCUGAUGCAGCAACGCCGCGUGCGGGAUGACGGGCUUCGGGUUGGAAACCGCUUUCAGCAGGGACGAAGCUUUUUGUGACGGUACCUGCAGAAGAAGCACCGGCUAACUACGUG